GUAGGGGGCAAGCGUUGUCCGGAUUUAUUGGGCGUAAAGAGCGUGUAGGCGGCCAGGUAGGUCGGUUGUGAAAACUAGAGGCUUAACCUCAAGACGUCGACCGAAACCAUCUGGCUAGAGUCCGGAAGAGGAGAGUGGAAUUCCUGGUGUAGCGGUGAAAUGCGCAGAUAUCAGGAAGAACACCCGUGGCGAAGGCGGCUCUCUGGGACGGUACUGACGCUGAGACGCGAAAGCGUGGGGAGCGAACAGGAUUAGAUACCCUGGUAGUCCACGCCGUAAACGAUGAGUGCUAGGUGUGGGGGGUGUCGACUCCCUCCGUGCCGAAGCUAACGCAUUAAGCACUCCGCCUGGGGAGUACGGCCGCAAGGCUAAA
rnacentral:rRNA from 1 species